AUGAACGCUGGCGGCGUGCCUAAUACAUGCAAGUCGAGCGAACAGAUGAGGAGCUUGCUCCUCUGACGUUAGCGGCGGACGGGUGAGUAACACGUGGAUAACCUACCUAUAAGACUGGGAUAACUUCGGGAAACCGGAGCUAAUACCGGAUAAUAUAUUGAACCGCAUGGUUCCAUAGUGAAAGACGGUUUUGCUGUCACUUAUAGAUGGAUCCGCGCCGCAUUAGCUAGUUGGUAAGGUAACGGCUUACCAAGGCAACGAUGCGUAGCCGACCUGAGAGGGUGAUCGGCCACACUGGAACUGAGAUACGGUCCAGACUCCUACGGGAGGCAGCAGUAGGGAAUCUUCCGCAAUGGGCGAAAGCCUGACGGAGCAACGCCGCGUGAGUGAUGAAGGUCUUCGGAUCGUAAAACUCUGUUAUUAGGGAAGAACAAAUGUGUAAGUAACUAUGCACGUCUUGACGGUACCUAAUCAGAAAGCCACGGCUAACUACGUG
rnacentral:rRNA from 1 species